UAACAACUCACCUGCCGAAUGAAUUAGCCCUGAAAAUGGAUGGCGCUCAAGCGGGUAGCCGACACUGCACCAUUUAAGCUAUUUAUGUCUUAAAUGAGUAGGAGGAACGUGGCGGUUGUAUAGAAGCGUAUCCGCAAGGAUGCGUGGAACGGCCGCUAGUGCAGAUCUUGGUGGUAGUAGCAAAUAUUCAAAUGAGAUCCUUGAAGGACCAAGCGGGGAAGGGUUCCACACGAACAUUGCUUGAGUGUGGGUUAGUCGGUCCUAAGCCAUAUGGUAAUCGCUAGAUUACUGGCGAAAGGGAAGCAGGUAAAGAUUCCUGCACCUAGUUAUAGAUGUUUACACGUCCACGUAGUCCCAGAGAAGCUGUGGUUGUAGUCCCCUUGCAGAGAUUUCUUUUCUGUUUGACGCCAUUACGGUCCUGAAACCCAUUUGCUGGGAGUAGGGGCCGAUUCCUCUGAUGGUAGAGCAUAGGAUUUCUUUCCUAUGUUUGGGUUGAUUCCUGCAGACCUUGAAAAUCUGGGCGCACCUGUUUAGCUUUUUGCUCUGCAGGGGGCCAUUCUAUUCUAGCCCGUACCCAUGACCGCAUCAGGUCCCCAAGGUGAACAGCCUCUGUCCAAUAUGAAUAAU
rnacentral:rRNA from 1 species